AGUGAACGCUGGCGGUAGGCCUAACACAUGCAAGUCGAACGGCAGCACAGUAAGAGCUUGCUCUUACGGUUGGCGAGUGGCGGAGGGGUGAGGAAUACAUCGGAUUCUACUUUUUCUUGGGGGUUAACUUAGGGAAACUUACCCUAUAACCCCUUCCUCCUUCCGGUGGAAACCAGGGGAUCUUCGACCUUUGCCGGUUUGAUUAAGCGGUGUUGGAUUAGCUAGUUGGCGGGGUAAAGGCCCACCAAGGCGACGAUCCGUAGCUGGUCUGAGAGGAUGAUCAGCCACACUGGAACUGAGACACGGUCCAGACUCCUACGGGAGGCAGCAGUGGGGAAUAUUGGACAAUGGGCGCAAGCCUGAUCCAGCCAUACCGCGUGGGUGAAGAAGGCCUUCGGGUUGUAAAGCCCUUUUGUUGGGAAAGAAAAGCAGCAGGUUAAUACCCCGCUGUUCUGACGGUACCCAAAGAAUAAGCACCGGCUAACUUCGUG
rnacentral:rRNA from 1 species